rnacentral:rRNA from 1 species
GUGCCAGCAGCCGCGGUAAUACGUAGGUGGCAAGCGUUAUCCGGAAUUAUUGGGCGUAAAGCGCGCGUAGGCGGUUUUUUAAGUCUGAUGUGAAAGCCCACGGCUCAACCGUGGAGGGUCAUUGGAAACUGGAAAACUUGAGUGCAGAAGAGGAAAGUGGAAUUCCAUGUGUAGCGGUGAAAUGCGCAGAGAUAUGGAGGAACACCAGUGGCGAAGGCGAUUUUCUGGUCUGUAACUGACGCUGAUGUGCGAAAGCGUGGGGAUCAAACAGGAU